AUUUCUUGGCCCAAAGAAGGUCCAUGGUGAGAAGACAGAGCUGAAGUAGAGGAAGAAAGAGCCCAUUCCAUCAGAACUGGCCUUACUACAAGAUGUGAUGAGACUUUCGAAGGAAAGAAAUGGUGCUGUGAUGGAAAAUAACAGUGGAAAACACCUGACGUAAGGAGGCCUUGAAGCUGAGGUGGGAAGAAUGAAGAGACCGCAGUCCCGUGAAACGCAGAGCAGAACGUUUCCGGGUGAAGGUAAAGUGAACGAACGGAAGGCCUUCUUAUGGAGUAAAACCCCGUGUGUCCGAGGAGAAAAAAGGACCGUCUCUAAAGGCCCAUCAUUGAGUACCAAGUGCCCUGACGUUGUUUUCUUCAUGUUGACUUUCUGUGGCUGGGUUGGUCGAGCUGUUUGGGUAGGAGAGAAACCCAGUCCCUGUAACCUCCUCUGGGCCAGAAGAAGAAUUGAAAAAAAUCAAGACCUAUUUUUAUAAAGUUAUAAAAGGCCCUUAGGAAACAUUCUGGCUGAAC